rnacentral:rRNA from 1 species
AACGAGUUAUCAGAACCUUCGGGGAACGAUAACGGCGUCGAGCGGCGGACGGGUGAGUAAUGCCUAGGAAAUUGCCCUGAUGUGGGGGAUAACCAUUGGAAACGAUGGCUAAUACCGCAUGAUGCCUACGGGCCAAAGAGGGGGACCUUCGGGCCUCUCGCGUCAGGAUAUGCCUAGGUGGGAUUAGCUAGUUGGUGAGGUAAGGGCUCACCAAGGCGACGAUCCCUAGCUGGUCUGAGAGGAUGAUCAGCCACACUGGAACUGAGACACGGUCCAGACUCCUACGGGAGGCAGCAGUGGGGAAUAUUGCACAAUGGGCGCAAGCCUGAUGCAGCCAUGCCGCGUGUGUGAAGAAGGCCUUCGGGUUGUAAAGCACUUUCAGUCGUGAGGAAGGCGGUGUAGUUAAUAGCUGCAUCGUUUGACGUUAGCGACAGAAGAAGCACCGGCUAACUCCGUGCCAGCAGCCGCGGUAAUACGGAGGGUGCGAGCGUUAAUCGGAAUUACUGGGCGUAAAGCGCAUGCAGGUGGUUUGUUAAGUCAGAUGUGAAAGCCCGGGGCUCAACCUCGGAAUUGCAUUUGAAACUGGCAGACUAGAGUACUGUAGAGGGGGGUAGAAUUUCAGGUGUAGCGGUGAAAUGCGUAGAGAUCUGAAGGAAUACCGGUGGCGAAGGCGGCCCCCUGGACAGAUACUGACACUCAGAUGCGAAAGCGUGGGGAGCAAACAGGAUUAGAUACCCUGGUAGUCCACGCCGUAAACGAUGUCUACUUGGAGGUUGUGGCCUUGAGCCGUGGCUUUCGGAGCUAACGCGUUAAGUAGACCGCCUGGGGAGUACGGUCGCAAGAUUAAAACUCAAAUGAAUUGACGGGGGCCCGCACAAGCGGUGGAGCAUGUGGUUUAAUUCGAUGCAACGCGAAGAACCUUACCUACUCUUGACAUCCAGAGAACUUUCCAGAGAUGGAUUGGUGCCUUCGGGAACUCUGAGACAGGUGCUGCAUGGCUGUCGUCAGCUCGUGUUGUGAAAUGUUGGGUUAAGUCCCGCAACGAGCGCAACCCUUAUCCUUGUUUGCCAGCGAGUAAUGUCGGGAACUCCAGGGAGACUGCCGGUGAUAAACCGGAGGAAGGUGGGGACGACGUCAAGUCAUCAUGGCCCUUACGAGUAGGGCUACACACGUGCUACAAUGGCGCAUACAGAGGGCGGCCAACUUGCGAAAGUGAGCGAAUCCCAAAAAGUGCGUCGUAGUCCGGAUUGGAGUCUGCAACUCGACUCCAUGAAGUCGGAAUCGCUAGUAAUCGUGGAUCAGAAUGCCACGGUGAAUACGUUCCCGGGCCUUGUACACACCGCCCGUCACACCAUGGGAGUGGGCUGCAAAAG